UUGCUUAUUAAAAAUAUUAUUUUAGGAGACUCCUGAAAAUGGCUCUAAUUCAAAUAAAAAUGGCAGACAGGAAAACGCGGGAACUGAGGAGAAGGUGACAGUGGCUGUGAACGUAGAAGAACCGGUUAUGUGGGAAUUUAAAUGGAAAAAUGAAGACGGGGAGGAUGUCCACGGUCCGUAUUCUAGCGAGAAGAUGUUGGAAUGGCAGGAAUCUGAAUUCUUUGCUGCUGGUGUCUGGUGCAGGAAAGUCGGGAGUGCUGGGGAAUUCUUGACGUCUAAAAGAAUAGAGUUCGACCUCUAUGUGUAAACAAUCAGAAACCAGUUCUAUGCAGUACAAAAACAAGAAUCAAACAAACCAGUACACUGCAGUACAGCAACUACAGCAUCAAGUUCAUUCCAUCCUCAAUUAACAACUGCAAACAUAAAAUGAUUUUGAGAAUUUCUUAAUUGUUCCUUUUGAUCAAAAUAAAUAAAGUUUUUUUCAUAGUUUA